GUGCCAGCAGCCGCGGUACUACCGGCAGCCCGAGUGAUGGCCGAUCUUAUUGGGCCUAAAGCGUCCGUAGCUGGCCCGACAAGUCCGUUGGGAAAUCCACGCGCUCAACGCGUGGGCGUCCAGCGGAAACUGCCUGGCUUGGGGCCGGAGGACUCGAGGGGUACGUCCGGGGUAGGAGUGUAAUCCCAUAAUCCCGCACGGACCACCGAUGGCGAAAGCACUUCGAGAAAACGGAUCCGACAGUGAGGGACGAAAGCCAGGGUCUCCAACCGGAUUAGAAACCCGUGUAGUCC
rnacentral:rRNA from 1 species